CCAUGCUAUAGUGGAUAUGGCUCGGAAGAUGGAGGCUAGUGCCAUCAUCCAAGGGACAGUUAAGCAGUACGUGGCACAGUCUUCGAGUGCCAAAAUCCCGGGGACAAGUGAUGUUAAUCUCUCCCCUCUGAGCGAGGCUGUCACAAAGAGUAAGAAGGGAGGCAGAGGCCUCAGAAGAUCGAAGAAGAACAAGUUCUGGAACCGGAUAAAGUCUGGUCUGGG
rnacentral:lncRNA from 1 species